GGACUACUCGGGUUUCUAAUCCCAUUCGCUCCCCUAGCUUUCGUCCCUCAGUGUCAGUUGCGGCCUAGUAGAGCGCCUUCGCCACCGGUGUUCUUCCUGAUCUCUACGCAUUUCACCGCUACACCAGGAAUUCCCUCUACCCCGAACGCACUCUAGCUUUGUAGUUUCCACUGCCUUUAUCUGGUUGAGCCAGACUCUUUAACAGCAGACUUUCAAUGCCACCUGCGGACGCUUUACGCCCAAUCAUUCCGGAUAACGCUUGCAUCCUCCGUAUUACCGCGGCUGCUGGCAC
rnacentral:rRNA from 1 species